rnacentral:rRNA from 1 species
AGUGAACGCUGGCGGUAGGCCUAACACAUGCCAGUCGAACGGCAGCACAGUAAGAGCUUGCUCUUACGGGUGACGAGUGGCGGACGGGUGAGGAAUACAUCGGAAUCUACUUUUUCGUGGGGGAUAACGUAGGGAAACUUACGCUAAUACCGCAUACGACCUACGGGUGAAAGCAGGGGAUCUUCGGACCUUGCGCGAUUGAAUGAGCCGAUGUCGGAUUAGCUAGUUGGCGGGGUAAAGGCCCACCAAGGCGACGAUCCGUAGCUGGUCUGAGAGGAUGAUCAGCCACACUGGAACUGAGACACGGUCCAGACUCCUACGGGAGGCAGCAGUGGGGAAUAUUGGACAAUGGGCGCAAGCCUGAUCCAGCCAUACCGCGUGGGUGAAGAAGGCCUUCGGGUUGUAAAGCCCUUUUGUUGGGAAAGAAAAGCAGCAGGUUAAUACCCCGCUGUUCUGACGGUACCCAAAGAAUAAGCACCGGCUAACUUCGUG